rnacentral:rRNA from 1 species
AGAGUUUGAUCAUGGCUCAGAACGUACGCUGGCGGCACGCCUUAUACAUGCAAGUCGAACGAAGUAGCAAUACUUAGUGGCAGACGGGUGAGUAACAUGUGGGUAUCUUCCCUUUGGUGAGGAAUAACACGAGGAAACUUGUGCUAAUACUGGAUAAGUCUUUACAGAGAAAGCUUUAUGCACCAUUGGAUGAGCCCGCACUUGAUUAGUUUGUUGGUGGGGUAAUGGCCUACCAAGACUUUGAUCAAUAGCUGAUUUGAGAGGAUGAUCAGCCACAUUGGGACUGAGACACGGCCCAAACUCCUACGGGAGGCAGCAGUGGGGAAUCUUGCACAAUGGAGGAAACUCUGAUGCAGCGAUGCCGCGUGAGUGAAGAAGGCCCUUGGGUUGUAAAGCUCUUUCGUCGGGGAAGAAAAUGACUGUACCCGAAUAAGAAGGUCCGGCUAACUUCGUGCCAGCAGCCGCGGUAAUACGAAGGGACCUAGCGUAGUUCGGAAUUACUGGGCUUAAAGAGUUCGUAGGUGGUUGAAAAAGUUGGUGGUGAAAUCCCAGAGCUUAACUCUGGAACUGCCAUCAAAACUUUUCAGCUAGAGUGUGAUAGAGGUAAGUGGAAUUUCUAGUGUAGAGGUGAAAUUCGUAGAUAUUAGAAAGAACACCAAAAGCGAAGGCAACUUACUGGGUCACUACUGACACUGAGGAACGAAAGCAUGGGUAGCGAAGAGGAUUAGAUACCCUCGUAGUCCAUGCCGUAAACGAUGUGUGUUAGACGUUGGAAAUUUAUUUUCAGUGUCGCAGCGAAAGCGAUAAACACACCGCCUGGGGAGUACGACCGCAAGGUUAAAACUCAAAUGAAUUGACGGGGACCCGCACAAGUAGUGGAGCAUGUGGUUUAAUUCGAAGAUACGCGCAGAACCUUACCAACACUUGACAUGUUCGUCGCGACUUUAAGAGAUUAAAGUUUUCGGUUCGGCCGGACGAAACACAGGUGCUGCAUGGCUGUCGUCAGCUCGUGUCGUGAGAUGUUGGGUUAAGUCCCGCAACGAGCGCAACCCUCACUUUUAGUUGCCAUCAUUUAGUUGGGCACUCUGAAAGAACUGCCAGUGAUAAGCUGGAGGAAGGUGGGGAUGACGUCAAGUCCUCAUGGCCCUUACGUGUUGGGCUACACACGUGCUACAAUGGUAUUUACAACAGGAAGCAAAACAGCGAUGUUAAGCAAAUCCUUAAAAAAUACCUCAGUUCGGAUUGCACUCUGCAACUCGAGUGCAUGAAGCUGGAAUUACUAGUAAUCGUGGAUCAGCGUGCCACGGUGAAUGCGUUCCCGGGUCUUGUACACACCGCCCGUCACACCAUGGAAGUUGGUUACACCUUAAGGCAA